GAUCCUGGCUCAGGAUGAACGCUAGCGGCAGGCUUAACACAUGCAAGUCGAGGGGCAGCAUAAUGGAUAGCAAUAUCUAUGGUGGCGACCGGCGCACGGGUGCGUAACGCGUAUGCAACCUACCUUUAACAGGGGGGAUAACACUGAGAAAUUGGUACUAAUACCCCAUAAUAUCAUAGAAGGCAUCUUUUAUGGUUGAAAAUUCCGAUGGUUAGAGAUGGGGAUGCGUUCCAUUAGGUAGUAGGCGGGGUAACGGCCCACCUAGCCGACGAUGGAUAGGGGUUCUGAGAGGAAGGUCCCCCACAUUGGAACUGAGACACGGUCCAAACUCCUACGGGAGGCAGCAGUGAGGAAUAUUGGUCAAUGGACGAGAGUCUGAACCAGCCAAGUAGCGUGCAGGAAGACGGCCCUAUGGGUUGUAAACUGCUUUUAUAAGGGAAUAAAGUGAGUCUCGUGAGACUUUUGCAUGUACCUUAUGAAUAAGGACCGGCUAAUUCCGUG
rnacentral:rRNA from 1 species